rnacentral:rRNA from 1 species
UUAAGCAUAUCAAUAAGCGGAGGAAAAGAAACCAACAGGGAUUACCUCAGUAACGGCGAGUGAAGCGGUAACAGCUCAAAUUUGAAAUCUGGCCCUUUUAGGGUCCGAGUUGUAAUUUGUAGAAGAUGCUUUGGGCGUGGCUCCGGUCUAAGUUCCUUGGAACAGGACGUCAUAGAGGGUGAGAAUCCCGUAUGUGACUGGUAGCUUUCGCCCGUGUAAAGCUCUUUCGACGAGUCGAGUUGUUUGGGAAUGCAGCUCAAAAUGGGUGGUAAAUUUCAUCUAAAGCUAAAUAUUGGCCAGAGACCGAUAGCGCACAAGUAGAGUGAUCGAAAGAUGAAAAGCACUUUGGAAAGAGAGUUAAACAGUACGUGAAAUUGUUGAAAGGGAAGCGCUUGCAACCAGACUCGCAGGCCGUCGAUCAUCUCAGGUUCUCCUGGGUGCACUCGGCGGUCUUCGGGCCAGCAUCGGUUUGGGUGGUGGGAUAAAGGCCUUGGGAAUGUAGCUUCUUUCGGGGAGUGUUAUAGCCCUCGGUGCAAUGCCGCCUACCCGGACCGAGGACCGCGCUUCGGCUAGGAUGCUGGCGUAAUGGUUGUAAGCGACCCGUCUUGAAACACGGACCAAGGAGUCUAACAUCUAUGCGAGUAUUUGGGUGUUAAACCCAUAUGCGUAAUGAAAGUGAACGGAGGUGAGAACCCUUAAGGGUGCAUCAUCGACCGAUCCUGAUGUCUUCGGAUGGAUUUGAGUAAGAGCAUAGCUGUUGGGACCCGAAAGAUGGUGAACUAUGCCUAAAUAGGGUGAAGCCAGAGGAAACUCUGGUGGAGGCUCGCAGCGGUUCUGACGUGCAAAUCGAUCGUCAAAUUUGGGUAUAGGGGCGAAAGACUAAUCGAACCAUCUAGUAGCUGGUUCCUG